AGAUCUCCUGGCCUGAGGUCUUUUCCCUCAGAACCCUGGUAUUUGAAGCAGCCUCAUGCAUGCAUCGUCUGAAAUUGUGAAUGCAGCCAAAUUGAAGCAGAAGUUGUUUUGCAGAAAGCCAGUGCUCAGAAGACAAGCUGCAACAUCACACUGGAUAAAGGUUGAUGCUGAUCUGCCAUUAAGAAGCAAUACGUUUGUUAAAAGCGAUUUCUUGUGCACUUUUUUCUUGCAGCAAUAGCUAAAAACUAUUCUCUUUUUAAUGGGUUGGAAACUAUAGCAUUUCUUUAAUGUAGCAUCCAAACAACAACAGAAAAACUGCAGAACUAUUUUUUUUUCUAGAUCACCAAACAUGUAUUUCCCAAACCAUUGUUACUAAACCCAUUCCCAUUAAGGAAAUCAGUGUAUACUUUACAUAUUGCACUUCAUACAUACCUCAAUUACCUUUCAUAUUUAAUAUGAAAAAAGAAAGCUUUUAUUAAUAUUAAUAAUUUAUGUAUAAAAAGUAAGCUUGCACUAUUAAAAAGAACUAGUAACUAUAUUUUUUAUAUGCAUCUAUAGUUAUUAUUAUUGUUCGAACCAGACAUUAACUCUGUACUUAUGUAAUGAUCUCAAACAGAUACUAUAUAACUGAAAGGGAGGAUUAUUUAUUUUAAUCUUAUU